rnacentral:snoRNA from 1 species
AACCCAUGGUGAGGGCACUCUCUUCGGUACUCCUUGUACCUCUCCCAAGCUUCGCAGAAAGCUUCACCAGAUUGUUGUUUAAACGACAAGAUCUUGUUCUUCAGAGC